UACGUAGGGGGCUAGCGUUGUCCGGAUUUAUUGGGCGUAAAGAGCGUGUAGGCGGCCAGGUAGGUCUGCUGUGAAAACUCGAGGCUCAACCUCGAGACGUCGGCGGAAACCAUCUGGCUAGAGUCCGGAAGAGGAGAGUGGAAUUCCUGGUGUAGCGGUGAAAUGCGCAGAUAUCAGGAAGAACACCCGUGGCGAAGGCGGCUCUCUGGGACGGUACUGACGCUGAAGACGCGGAAAGCGUGGGGAGCGAACAGG
rnacentral:rRNA from 1 species